UACAGAGGGUGCAAGCGUUGGUCGGAAUUAUUGGGCGUAAAGGGAGUGUAGGCGGUUUGAUAAGUCUUCUGUGAAAUCUACGGGCUUAGCCUGUAACGUGCAGAGGAAACUGUCAGACUUGAGUGUCGGAGAGGAUAGGGGAAUACCCAGUGUAGAGGUGAAAUUCGUAGAGAUUGGGUGGAACACCAGUGGCGAAGGCGCCUGUCUGGCUGACAACUGACGCUGAGACUCGAAAGCAUGGGGAGCAAACAGG
rnacentral:rRNA from 1 species